GGGAUAACCUUCCGAAAGGAGGGCUAAUACCAGAUAAGACCACGGGGCUUCGGCCCUGAGGUUAAAGGUGGCCUCUGCUCGCAAGCUACCACUCGGAGAUGGGCCUGCGCACCAUUAGCUAGUUGGCGAGGUAACGGCUCAUCAAGGCGAAGAUGGUUAGCUGAUCUGAGAGGAUGAUCAGCCACACUGGGACUGAGACACGGCCCAGACUCCUACAGGAGGCAGCAGUGGGGAAUCUUGGACAAUGGGGGAAACCCUGAUCCAUCGACGCCGCGUGCGUGAUGAAGGCCUUCGGGUCGUAAAGCCCUGUCGGGAGGGAAGAAACUCCUGCCGGUGAACAAUCGGCGGGAUUGACGGUACCUCCUAAGGAAGCACCGGCUAACUCUGUGCCAGCAGCCGCGGUAAGACAGAGGGUGCAAGCGUUGUUCGGAAUUACUGGGCGUAAAGGGCGCGUAGGCGGUCCGCUAAGUUCGGUGUGAAAUCCCCUGGCUCAACUGGGGAACUGCGCCCGAUACUGGUGGACUCGACUACCGGAGAGGAUGGUGGAAUUCCUGGUG
rnacentral:rRNA from 1 species